UUGGCUGAGAGAGUUUGGAUGGACUUGAAAUUCUGAGUUGGUUGGGUUGUUAGUAGAUGUAGUGGGAUUGUGUCAAAAUUAAUCAAUUUUAUCUUUAUCUUUUUUUUAUUUUUUUAUUUUUCAAUUUUCUCUCUUCCCAAAAUACUUUUUGAUGUUUCUUCUCCAAAUUCCUCUUCCAAACGUUUUCUUUUUUAUUUCUUCUUUCUUUGAU
rnacentral:lncRNA from 1 species